ACAGACACGUUUUUUUCUCAGCCCUAUCCAGCACACCAGUGCCAGAGCUUAAUAAAUGAAAUUUAAGACUUUACAAGAAUCUAGAAACUUUACUUUAAAAAAAACCUACCCAGAUACAAUUAAAACCUAAACUUACGAAAAACCCAAACGCCAAAUCUGAAAUGAGAAAGAACGAAAACAUAAACGAAAAAAACUGUUCAAAUCUCUAGCAUCCUUCAUCAAUUUCUCUACAACCAUUGUCAAAGCCAUUCAAACAUCCUACUCAUUUUUUGUUCACAAUGGAUAGUGUGUAGAGGUUGAAACUGUCGGAGACCUUUCAUUUCUUAUUUCUCCAACUCAUUUCUCCUUUCUGACAGGGACCAUCUAUCUUUUUCAACUGCCGAUUUUGAUCUUGGAGGUGCCUCUUCAAUCUAGAACCUCGGUAGAUCCCAUCGUUUCCCUUCCUCCGCCAUUAUAUGCGCCACGUGGUUCACUGAUCUACCUGUAAAUUGACAGGUAAAGCUGUCAAACCUCCGAGCCCGUUCUCUUAUUUCUUUUAUAAUUACAGUAAUAUUUGAUUUGUCCUCUUCAAGUGUUUGGAUUUUCUUUAUGACUGUCAAGGAGUCCCCUUCGAUCACCAGAUUUCUAAAUCCCAGUUUUUCAGCCACUACCACCAUUUUUAAACAGGCUCUCACAUCUACCGUGGUUGCAUCGGCCACAUAUGUGUUCGGUAUAUACCCCUGUUUUGUCACCCCCUCCUCACCCUUUCAUCGUGAAUAUCCAUUGCAGCGAGUGGGAUGGACAGAAUUCUGGAAAUUUGCUCCUCUUCAAAAAGCUGUCAUAACACAUCGAUUUUCCUGGCCCCGGGAUUCAAGCUUCAUUCCAGAUGUUGAUCGACUUUCCGUUCCCCACUCUCCAUCCCAUUCCAUGCUCCAACAAUUUCCUUGCACUCCAUAUACUUCUCCAAGUAAAUGAAGGGGAUUCUCUACAAUGACAUUGUAGGCCAAUUGAAAGGGAUGCAGCGUAGCUUGGUAGCGCGUUUGUUUUGGGUACAAAAUGUCACGGGUUCAAAUCCUGUCAUCCCUACCUAUUACUUCUCCUUUGAUUAGUAAUGAGGGAGUCGUUUUAGAUUGAUUAAAAUUAAGCAUACAUAAGUUCGAUAUCAACUUUGGCUCUAAAUCUCAUAAAUCUUUGUUCCCCUUGUAAUUAAUGCAGCAUCAUAUUGUAAAAAUUAUUCUAUAAAAUCACCUAGUUGUCUUGCCAAAA